rnacentral:rRNA from 1 species
GACAACUAGGAUGUUGGCUCAGAAGCAGCCACAUUCAAAGAGUGCGUAAUAGCUCACUAGUCGAGAGGUCCUGCGCCGAAAAUGUCCGGGGCUGAAACACAACACCGAAGCUUAGGAAUGUAUGUAAGUACAUUGGUAGAGGAGCAUUCUUAGUGCGGAGAAGCGGUACCGAUAAGGAGCCGUGGAGCGUUAAGAAGAGAGAAUGCGGAAUGAGUAGCGAGAUGGAGGUGGGAAUCCUCCAGGCCGAAUAUCCAAGGUUUCCAGAGUAAAGCUGAUCUGCUCUGGGUAAGUCGGGGCCUAAGGCGAGGCUGAGAGGCGUAGUCGAUGGACAACAGGUUGAAAUUCCUGUACCAUGUAUCAUCAGAACUGUGGGGACACAGAAGGACAACACAUCCCGGGAAUGGGAAUACCGGGGCAAGCGUAGGAGGAGUCAGGUUGGCAAACCCGCCUGGCAAUCCAAAGACGUGAUGCGCAGCGAACUAAAGUAGCGAAGUGUGUGAUUCCGGCUGUCAAGAAAAGCCGCUAUUGUGUGAUACAUGCCCGUACCGUAAACCGACACAGGUAGAUGAGGAGAGAAUCCUAAGGCCGGCGGGAGAAGCAUUGUUAAGGAACUCGGCAAAAUGACCCCGUAACUUCGGGAGAAGGGGUGCCACAGAGAUGUGGCCGCAGAGAAUAGGCUCAAGCAACUGUUUAGCAAAAACACAGGUCUAUGCAAAACCGUAAGGUGAGGUAUAUGGGCUGACGCCUGCCCGGUGCUGGAAGGUUAAGAGGAGAGGUUAGCGCAAGCGAAGCUUUGAAUUUAAGCCCCAGUAAACGGCGGCCGUAACUAUAACGGUCCUAAGGUAGCGAAAUUCCUUGUCGGGUAAGUUCCGACCCGCACGAAAGGCGUAAUGAUUUGAGCGCUGUCUCAACAAUGCACCCGGUGAAAUUGAAAUACCAGUGAAGAUGCUGGUUACCUGCGCCAGGACGGAAAGACCCCAUGGAGCUUUACUCCAGUUUGAUACUGGGAUUCGGUAUUGCAUGUACAGGAUAGGUGGGAGGCUUUGAAACAUGGACGCCAGUCUGUGUGGAGCCAAUGUUGGGAUACCACCCUUGCGAUAUUGGGUUUCUAACCUGCGCCCGUGACCCGGGCGGGGGACAAUGUCAGGCGGGGAGUUUGACUGGGGCGGUCGCCUCCGAAAGGGUAUCGGAGGCGCUCAAAGGUUCCCUCAGGAUGGUUGGAAACCAUCCAAAGAGUGCAAAGGCAUAAGGGAGCUUGACUGCGACACCGACGGGUGGAGCAGGUACGAAAGUAGGACUUAGUGAUCCGGUGGUAUGAAAGUGGGAUUGCCAUCGCUCAACGGAUAAAAGCUACCCUGGGGAUAACAGGCUUAUCACUCCCAAGAGUUCACAUCGACGGAGUGGUUUGGCACCUCGAUGUCGGCUCAUCGCAUCCUGGGGCUGUAGCAGGUCCCAAGGGUUGGGCUGUUCGCCCAUUAAAGCGGUACGCGAGCUGGGUUCAGAACGUCGUGAGACAGUUCGGUCCCUAUCCGGCGCGGGCGUAGGAUAUCUGAGAGGAGCUGUCCUUAGUACGAGAGGACCGGGAUGGACAGACCGCUGGUGUACCUGUUGGCCUACCAAGGCCAUGGCAGGGUAGCCAAGUCUGGACGGGAUAAACGCUGAAGGCAUCUAAGCGUGAAGCCCCCCUCAAGAUGAGAUAUCCCAUCGCGAAAGCGAGUAAGACCCUUGAAGACGACGAGGUAGAUAGGUUAGAGGUGGAAGUGCAGUAAUGUACGGAGCUGACUAAUACUAAUCGGUCGAGGGCUUAUCCAG